rfam:Acetobacterium wieringae strain DSM 1911 ACWI_contig000010, whole genome shotgun sequence.
UUUCCGGCGACGGAAGGGUCUGAAGGAAGCUGAUGGCGGUUGUUGGAACGGAACGCAAGUGAACCAGUGUUGGUAUAUAUGAUGGAUAACCUUUCAAAAAGUGGGGACGUCCGAAAAUUAGCUGAAUCAUAUAUAUUGUUGUCCGUCAAAUUAUAAGCACCACCAUC